UUUUAAGGUGUGCCUGUGAUCAUUAUACCAGGGUGCUAGUUUUUUUUUUUUUUUUUUUUUUUUUCUUUUACGUGGAGCUACAUUAUCAAGAGUGUAGCACAACGCUGACUCUAAGCAUUCAGUUGUCUGUUUAAGUUCCAUGGGGUCAGAAUGUGAUCCAAUCAGGGUUGAUAACUCUGGGAGAUUAUUGAUAAAACUACGUGCAGUAGCUGACGUGAAUGUACGUUUGUUGUGGUGGCGUGGCAAAGUGCAUAUAUAUACUCGGCAAAAAAAGAACCGUCCUCUCACAUUCAACUGCUUUUAUUUCCAGCAAAUUUCGGAACAUGUGUAAGUAUUUGUAGUAACAUAAAAACAUUCAACAACUGAAACAGAAUCUGAACAAGUUUCACAGACUUUUGAAGAACAGAAAUGGAGUAAUGAGUCCCUGAACCAAGGGGGGGGGGGUCGAUAUCAAAAAGGAACAGUCAGUACCUGGUGUGUCCUCCAGCUGCUUUAAGUACUACAGAGCAUCUCAUCCUCAUGGACUGCACCAGAUUGGUCAGUUCUUGCUGUGAGAUGUUCCUCCACUCUUCCACCGAGGCGUUUGCAAGUUCUCGAUCACAUCUGGAGGGACACACAGUUAUAUGUAAUUUUCCACUGCGAGGACGAUCAUCUGUCCUUCCUGUCUCCCUGUAGCGCCGUCUCAGGCGUCUUACAUUACAGACAUUGCAGUUUAUCGCUCUGAACACGUCUGCAGUCCUCAUGCCUCCCUGCAGCAGGUCUAUGGCAUGUUCACACAGGCUGGUGCAGGCAUGAAUGAGUGACUUAUGGCGGAGACUGUAUGGAGGACUUUGCAUAAGGUCAGAGAUAACACACACACACACACACACACACACGAGCUGCUGAAUUCCAGUGCGUCACCCGCUGCUGAGCAACACUUACAUGGUAUGUUAUGAAACGUGUGAACAGCAACGCUAUAAAUACAUAUUACAACGUAAUUGACUGGAAUAAAGUUGGUUGGAUGUUCGAUAUUCGCAGAUAUGCGGAUAUUAAGGGACCGUCUCUAAAGUUACAUACGACAUUGUUAAACACGUUUCUAACUUCAAUAGCAUUUGAAGGGAAUGAUGUACAGUCACACAACCAACUGUAAAGUGUUCAUAUAGGUGUCAGGUAUGACGCACACCUUUUAGAUUUGUGGUAUAUUUUUUUUUAAAUAAGCUCUUAAAUCAUAUAUGAAUAUCGAACUUCCAACGUCAAACUAACCUUAUCCCAGUACCAAAUUGUCUCCGCUCUUGAGUGUUCUUUAGUGUUUAUAUCUGUUUGAAUGUUUCUUUUCUUCUUUCCCCUGAAAACAUUCAACAAGUCGUACUGUUUUUCAUGAAUGAUGGGAAGGAACCUGUGGACUGUUGAACCUUUCAGAUGGGGACUGUUACAUGAAUGUGUUUAAAACACAUCUGUCCAAGAAAGCAGUCACUUCUGUUAAUACUCUAGAUCAGUUACUUGCAUUACUUGUAUUUAAAAACACAGCAUGUAUCUUUAAGCUGUGCACACGCUCUUGGUCUUCUAUCCUUUGUCCCGCUUGCAAAAAAAAAAAAAAAAGAAAGAAAAAAAAACCCAGCCGCGUGUAAAAUCGAGUGAGAGCAAAGCAGCGUGAAAUACGGGCUUCAUUCUCACUGUAGAGUUUAGGGGUUGUGUGUAAAUUCCUACACUGGUGAGAAGACGUGGGUGGGUGUUCACUGGAUUACUGAGAAAAGCAUGAAAGAUAACUUGCCCAACACCCUACAGAUGUUAAUGUGAACUCGUUUGACAGUGGGUAUAAGUAGUCUACACACCCCAUUUUAAAAUCGCAGGGUUCUGUGAUGUAAACAAUGAAACCAAGAUGAAUCACGUCAGAUCUUUCUGCCCAAAUCCGUCAGCGGAGUCAAAGGAACGGCUUCAGAAGAAGAAGAUCAGUGUUAUGGAAUGGCCAAGUCAGAGCCCAGGUAAAUCCUAUCAAAACCCGUGAAAUGAAUUGAAGAGAGCUGUGCACAGAAGAUAAUCGCAAUUUUUUGCAAGGAAGAGUGGAAUAAAAUCGCCAAAGCAGGAUGCGCUAAGACUGAGUGCUAAUAUCGUAUUAGUCAAGGGGUGUACACACUUAUGCAACAAGGUUAUUGUGUUUUGUUUUUUGUUUUUUUGGUAACCUUGUCUAUUUGUUCAACCAAUUUUGCUUGUUGUUGUAUCACAUUAAAGGUGGAAAAAGAU
ensembl:lncRNA